rnacentral:rRNA from 1 species
GCUGGCGGCAGGCCUAACACAUGCAAGCGAGCGGUAACAUUUCUAGCUUGCUAGAAGAUGACGAGCGGCGGACGGGUGAGUAACGCGUAGAAAUCUACCUAGUAGUGGGGGAUAGCCCAGAGAAAUUUGGAUUAAUAACCGCAUACGCCUACGGGGGAAAGCGGGGGAGUCUUCGGACCUCGUGCUAUUAGAUGAGUCUGCGUCGGAUUAGCUUGUUGGUGAGGUAAUGGCUCACCAAGGCGACGAUCCGUAGCUGGUCUGAGAGGAUGACCAGCCACACUGGAACUGAGACACGGUCCAGACUCCUACGGGAGGCAGCAGUGGGGAAUAUUGCACAAUGGGCGCAAGCCUGAUGCAGCCAUGCCGCGUGUGUGAAGAAGGCCUUAGGGUUGUAAAGCACUUUCAGCAGUGAGGAAAGGGGUGUCGUUAAUAGCGCCAUCCUGUGACGUUAACUGCAGAAGAAGGACCGGCUAACUCCGUG